rnacentral:rRNA from 1 species
UACAGAGGUCCCAAGCGUUGUUCGGAUUCACUGGGCGUAAAGGGUGCGUAGGCGGGUCUUUAAGUCAGGGGUGAAAUCCUGGAGCUCAACUCCAGAACUGCCCUUGAUACUGAAGGUCUUGAGCUCGGGAGAGGUGAGUGGAACUGCGAGUGUAGAGGUGAAAUUCGUAGAUAUUCGCAAGAACACCAGUGGCGAAGGCGGCUCACUGGCCCGAUACUGACGCUGAGGCACGAAAGCGUGGGGAGCAAACAGG